rnacentral:misc_RNA from 1 species
GAUGAAGAACGUAGUGAAAUGCGAUACGUAGUGUGAAUUGCAGAAUUCAGUGAAUCAUCGAAUCUUUGAACGCAUAUUGCGCUCUUUGGUAUUCCGAAGAGCAUGCUUGUUUGAGUAUCAGUAAACACCUCAAAACUUUUUUUUUUUUAAAAAAACAGUUUUGGACUUGAGCAAUCCCAACACCAAUCUUUUUUAGAUCGGUGGCGGGUUGCUUGAAAUGCAGGUGCAGCUGGACAUUCUCCUGAGCUAAAAGCAUAUUUAUUUAGUCCCGUCAAACGGAUUAUUACUUUUGCUGCAGCUAAUAUAAAGGGAGUUUGACCGUUUUGGCUGACUGAUGCAGGAUUUCACAAGGGUCGGCAACGAUUCUUGUAAAACUCGAUCUCAAAUCAAGUAAGACUACCCGCUGAACUUAAGCAUAUCAAUAAGCGGAGGA